GCUUCGGUCACCAAGAAAGGAUGUACCGAAUUCCAAAGAGUGUCGGGCCUUAUCGGGCAGCUGCUUCUACAGGCGCGAGGACACGAGGCAGCGCCGCGCCGGUCCGUGAAGAAAAAGAAAGAAAAAGGAUCUUUAAGUAAGAAAUGAAAAGGAUCUUGCAAUGGGCUAUACAUAACCAGGCUGGGGGAACAAAAGACUCCAGCCAUGUCCCCGAGCUUAACUGCCUUCACAGCAAAUAACAUGGAAUGCUCUACAGACAAAUAUGACAAAAAUGUACCUGUCGUGGGCCUUUUACUCCUUGCUCUCCACCCUCUCUAAAUCUGAAAAGAGACUGUGCUUGUAGCAGCAUGUCCCAGGUUUUAACAAAUGCAGACUCCAGUUAAUAAAGGAAUAUAAUACUAAGGCAGUGGUUAUGUUUUAUCAACCAUCAUUGAGAAGAAUAAAGUUGCAGAAUUGAGAACCUUUCCUAACUUUUAUUGAUUUUUUUUUUUUCUUCCUUUUGUCAUCUGGUAUCUAUUGCUUUUUUAUUGGAAUUUUGCCUCAAGGCUCCUACACGAUAAACAACAGAUUUCCAACAGCUACUGGCAAACUACUCCAUAAAAAAGCUUUCCAAGACAAGUAGUUGUGUGGUGAUGUGGUGGCAGCAAGUGAACUCUAGGGUGUGAACUUUCUUCAGGCCAAAGAAUGCAAAACUUCUGCCCAGAGUUGCAUGUGGGUUUAAAGUGGUUCCCAAAUUAUUGCCAGGGAUGUCUGUAAUGCUUUGCUGGUAACUGUGUAACACUACAGGUGGUUCAGGAACAAAAAAGAUUGAGCAGCCUCAGCCUCUGUGGGAAUCCAGAAGCUAAAAUUUGAUGAAAAUUUGACUAUUUGACUAAAAUAAUCAGGAUUGUGGUGGAUAAGAUAUCCACAUUUUAAUGCACCAUCCCUUUUGAAAAGACUGAUGUUGUCCAUUAGAUUGAAAUAAUGUAGUGAUCAUUUUUCUAGGAGGAAAAAGGAAGGGAAAUUCAGCACUGUAGAAAAGCGCGAAAGUAGCAUUUAUAUGGUGGGAUUUGGAAAACCUAUGAAAAAUCUGCCGUUAUGUAUUUAACAUUGUAUUUUUAUUUGAAGCUUAUCAAAAGCCUUUUUCAAGGUACUUCUUUUUAAUGAGAUGAGUCACAGAAUAAGAUGGGCUCCAUUAUCCAGGUGAUUACUAGAUUAACAGGCAUACUGAAUGGAUUUUGCAAAGACACAUUAGGACUGCUGUCGUUCAGCAGGAGGUUCAGCAGUAUGGCCUUCCUCAGCCACCGAGGUACUCACGGCUAAACUGAAGCCUUUCUGCUCAUUAAAAAGGAAGGACAAUUAUGCUCCUCCAGGAUGCAAAAGUGUCAUAACGGUAUGAUGGAAGUAGCCUUAACCUUUAUAGUCCCGAAGUGUUGAUGACCUGAAGAGUAAGCAAGAAAUAUGUACUUCAAAAUAAAUUAUGCUUCUUUUGUCUUUAAACAAUGAAUGUGGUAUUCACACAGUUAAUCGUUAUCCAUUCAUUAGUAUACAACUGUACUGAUUGAUAAUCAACAACAUGAGUUUCACUAGCCUUUAAAAUCUCAAGGCCCUCAAAUUUUUACCUUUUUAUUUCUUCAAGUCAUUUUAGAAUUUCCUUAAUGCCAUCUAUCCUAAGUUUUGCAUCUAGGUUUUGAAGUUUAUCAUUUUCUGUUUUGUUCUAUUCUGGUUUUGUUUUCCUUGGUGUUUUUAUUUUCACAGAGGUUCUGUGAAGCUUCUUAUA